rnacentral:rRNA from 1 species
UCGAGCGGUAACAGAUCCAGCUUGCUGGAUGCUGACGAGCGGCGGACGGGUGAGUAAUGCAUAGGAAUCUGCCCGAUAGUGGGGGAUAACCUGGGGAAACCCAGGCUAAUACCGCAUACGUCCUACGGGAGAAAGGGGGCUCCGGCUCCCGCUAUGGGAUGAGCCUAUGUCGGAUUAGCUAGUUGGUGAGGUAACGGCUCACCAAGGCCACGAUCCGUAGCUGGUCUGAGAGGAUGAUCAGCCACAUCGGGACUGAGACACGGCCCGAACUCCUACGGGAGGCAGCAGUGGGGAAUAUUGGACAAUGGGGGAAACCCUGAUCCAGCCAUGCCGCGUGUGUGAAGAAGGCCCUCGGGUUGUAAAGCACUUUCAGCGAGGAAGAACGCCUAGCGGUUAAUACCCGCUAGGAAAGACAUCACUCGCAGAAGAAGCACCGGCUAACUCCGUGCCAGCAGCCGCGGUAAUACGGAGGGUGCAAGCGUUAAUCGGAAUUACUGGGCGUAAAGCGCGCGUAGGUGGCUUGAUAAGCCGGUUGUGAAAGCCCCGGGCUCAACCUGGGAACGGCAUCCGGAACUGUCAAGCUAGAGUGCAGGAGAGGAAGGUAGAAUUCCCGGUGUAGCGGUGAAAUGCGUAGAGAUCGGGAGGAAUACCAGUGGCGAAGGCGGCCUUCUGGACUGACACUGACACUGAGGUGCGAAAGCGUGGGUAGCAAACAGGAUUAGAUACCCUGGUAGUCCACGCCGUAAACGAUGUCGACCAGCCGUUGGGUGCCUAGCGCACUUUGUGGCGAAGUUAACGCGAUAAGUCGACCGCCUGGGGAGUACGGCCGCAAGGUUAAAACUCAAAUGAAUUGACGGGGGCCCGCACAAGCGGUGGAGCAUGUGGUUUAAUUCGAUGCAACGCGAAGAACCUUACCUACUCUUGACAUCCUGCGAAUUUGGUA